UACAGAGGUGGCAAGCGUUGUUCGGAAUUACUGGGCGUAAAGGGCGCGUAGGCGGCCUACUAAGUCAGACGUGAAAUCCCUCGGCUUAACCGGGGAACUGCGUCUGAUACUGGAUGGCUUGAGUUUGGGAGAGGGACGCGGAAUUCCAGGUGUAGCGGUGAAAUGCGUAGAUAUCUGGAGGAACACCGGUGGCGAAGGCGGCGUCCUGGACCAACACUGACACUGAGGAGCGAAAGCCAGGGGAGCAAACGGG
rnacentral:rRNA from 1 species